GGCCCUAUGGCGUAUCGGUAGCGCAUCGUCACUUGGUGGACGCGUCCGACGACUGUGUUGGUUCGAAUCCAACUGGGGCCC